rnacentral:rRNA from 1 species
AACGAACGCUGGCGGCAUGCCUAACACAUGCAAGUCGAUCGAGACCUUCGGGUCUAGUGGCGCACGGGUGCGUAACGCGUGGGAACCUGCCCUUAGGUUCGGAAUAACUCCCCGAAAGGGGUGCUAAUACCGGAUAAUGUCUUCGGACCAAAGAUUUAUCGCCUUUGGAUGGGCCCGCGUUGGAUUAGCUAGUUGGUAGGGUAAAAGCCUACCAAGGCGACGAUCCAUAGCUGGUCUGAGAGGAUGAUCAGCCACACUGGGACUGAGACACGGCCCAGACUCCUACGGGAGGCAGCAGUGGGGAAUAUUGGACAAUGGGCGAAAGCCUGAUCCAGUAAUGCCGCGUGAGUGAUGAAGGCCUUAGGGUUGUAAAGCUCUUUUACCCGGGAUGAUAAUGACAGUACCGGGAGAAUAAGCUCCGGCUAACUCCGUG